rnacentral:rRNA from 1 species
CAACUUUCAGCAACGGAUUUCUUGGCUCUCGCAUCGAUGAAGAACGCAGCGAAAUGCGAUAAGUAAUGUGAAUUGCAGAAUUCAGUGAAUCAUCGAAUCUUUGAACGCACCUUGCGCUCCUUGGUAUUCCGAGGAGCAUGCCUGUUUGAGUGUCAUUA